rnacentral:rRNA from 1 species
AACGAACGCUGGCGGCAGGCUUAACACAUGCAAGUCGAGCGCCCCGCAAGGGGAGCGGCAGACGGGUGAGUAACGCGUGGGAAUCUACCCAUCUCUACGGAAUAACGCAUGGAAACGUGUGCUAAUACCGUAUACGUCCUUCGGGAGAAAGAUUUAUCGGAGAUGGAGGAGCCCGCGUUGGAUUAGCUAGUUGGUGGGGUAAAGGCCUACCAAGGCGACGAUCCAUAGCUGGUCUGAGAGGAUGAUCAGCCACACUGGGACUGAGACACGGCCCAGACUCCUGCGGGAGGCAGCAGUGGGGAAUAUUGGACAAUGGGCGCAAGCCUGAUCCAGCCAUGCCGCGUGAGUGAUGAAGGCCCUAGGGUUGUAAAGCUCUUUCACCGGUGAAGAUAAUGACGGUAACCGGAGAAGAAGCCCCGGCUAACUUCGUGCCAGCAGCCGCCGUAAUAC